UUCCUGCACAUCAGGUGCCAGUCAGAGCCUCACCGAGGGGGAAACAGCAGCUGAAGAUUUAGGUGAGGAAUAACAACAACGAAGAAAACAAAACAAGAGUGUGAGAAAACCGAGGAGGAGGAAAAAAAAUUUUCUCAGCUGCAAAAUACUCAGUAACACUCCCAGUCAGCACUGGCUCGGUGCAUCCCAAAAUCCAGAGACACUGGGAAGUGAGAGCUUGGAGAAUCCCGAAUCACUGACUGGGGGUUUGAUUUAUUCUUUGCAGCCAGACAGUGCUCUCUCCCUCUCUCCCUCUCUCCCUCCCUCCCCUCCCUCUCUCCGGUGUGCGGGCACAGCAGCCACCUCUCCCCCUCCACCAACCAAAGGGGGGGGGGUGCUCCUGCAAUAAAAGUGUGGGAAGCUCAUGGCUGCGGAGUAAUGCAGACAAAGCACGAGGGAGAGGGACCCAGAGGGCCGGAGCCCCCGGAGAUGUGACCCACCCCGCGGGAGGACGCGUCCGUAGCCUCCGAGCCGUGUUUGUGCUGCCUCACGGCGAUAGACAGCGGGCUCGGAUCCCCCCGGGGAUUUCUCCGGCGCUAAUUCCCUCCGCACAAAGCCCAGCCUGCCGGGCUGCUCUCCAGCAGCAACCUUUGCAUCCCUCCAGCUCCCCCCGAGCCGCAGGAGCUGCUCCCCCCGGCUGCUCCCGAGCCAAUGUCACCUGUACCCAAUGAAGCAGACCCCGAGGUGCCACGCAUGGAUCCCAGGAUUCUUAUUUUCCUUCUCUACGUGAUGAUCCUUCACGAGCUGGUGAGUGGCUGGAUGGAGUACCAGAAGCAGAUGGCCAAGCCAAAGAAGCAGGCGGGUCCAGUUUGGUCCUCGAGCAAUGCCACCAGAUCCAGCCCCUCCAGCUUCUCCAGGCCCCUGGUCCACUCUGUGCGCAGGGAGAGGUACAGGGACUGGAGGAAACCGGGAAGGAUCAUCCGGAAGGCGUGAGGAGGGAUCUGUUGGGAGCGUGGGGAGAGAUGGCUGAGCCGGAGGAGCCACCCCUCAGGGUCUGCACCACCUCACCAGCCCACACAGGAGCAUCCCCCAGGCACUGCAACCUGCAGCUUUCCUCACUGAGAACACACCACUGAGGAGGAAUGAGCCCCUUCCUCCUGGGAAUUCGUCCCUGCAGGGUGAGGAGCUGCACUGGAGACACCUCAGCCAGCAGCAGGAUCACCCCAAGUGGCACCUUUGCCACCCAGCACAGUGAAGUGACUUCUCUGCUUCCCAAAGGGUUGAGUGGGUGGAGAGCAGAUUUCCUGGGGGGGGAAGAGUGAAAUUUGCUCCUGCAGGGGCAGCUCUGGGAAGCCUCCAAAUGGUUUCAGGCUCCUCUUCUCCUGCUCCAGGACUGCGUGGCCAGUAAGCCUCAGCUCCCAAACUGACUGGAAAAUCUCUGGUGUCCAGUCUGUCACCGCUCCCAGGAGAACUCACCUCUACUGGGACACACAGAGCUCAUGGCACUUUGGGAAUGCUGGCUCCCCAUUAAGUCUCAUGCACUGAGAAUCCCUAAAUUUUUUUCUGCUUUCCUUCACGCUUGUUAAAUGAGUUACUCUGGGCUGGAAGGGGGAAAACGCCCUGAACCAGUGACUCAGAGUUAUGCCACCAAAUGCAAUUUACUGCAAUGACCUUGUAAUUAGCUUUCCUUGGAGCAUUCCCAGCAGUUGAGCCGAAUAAAUGUAAGAGCCACUUUCUAAUGAGCAGAUAGAUGGGGAAGGAAUACAAUAUUGCUCUUUUUGAGCCUGCAGUUUGGGCAUAAAAUUCAAUUUUAGAGGCAAAAUUCUGCUGUUGCAUCCUGCACCUCACAUAGGCAGGAUGGGAAUCUUGGAGCACUGGAGGGAUUCUGACUCUGGGCUCUCACAGCAGCUGUCCAUGGCAAAACUGCUCCUUAUUUGCUGAACAUAAUGUUUGGCUCAAACACAGCCUGUUUUUCUCGUUGCCAACCAUUUAUAAACCUGACUCAGGCUCACAGACACAUUAUCCAGGAGCAGACAGGGAAGGGAGUCGGGAUAGAUUAUGCAUUCAUUACCCAGAAGUAGCCACCAGAUACAUUUGCACAUUUGUCUGCUGCUCAGUUGUUUGCAAAUUGUUCCUGUUGGUUGACACUGUGUUUGUUCAGUCACCCAGGGCUGGAGUCACCUGAGCUCAGCACCCAGACCCAGGUGCUGCAAAGAGGGGAAUGGGAGGGGGUGUGAAGUGACUCCUAUGAAGUUAAACCUCACAAGGAAGCUGCCUGAACUGUGCUCUUGAAGUUCCCAAUCCUCUAUCCCAAGUAGGAUAAGUAACUCAGAUGUAAACCUCUACUUUCACAUGGGGGAGAUGAAGUUUCUGCCUUGAAGUUGAUGCCUCGUGUUCAGAUGUGUUUGAAAAAGGAGCAAGAAGUGGCAGUUAAUGUUUUCUGCACAUUUCAAAGCAUAACCCCCCCGCGAAGUUGUGCCUCAGCCCUGUGACACUGUGACACUGUGGCUGUCCCUGAGGCCUCCACGGCCUGUCCUGAUCCCUGCAGGUACAGCCAGAGGUGACAGCAACAGAGGGAGAAGGUGGCAGGAGGAAGAACAUUCAGAAAGUGUUUCUGGGGGCUGGGGGACUUUGCUGCCCUGGAGUUGAGUGUGAGGGCGGACGCGUAGCUGGAUAUUCUCCCUGCUCUUCUGCCAGAGCCUGUGUGAGUUUGCUGGGAGCACUUCCUGUGGAAAAAGGGUUUAAAUGAAUUACUCCAGUGGGACAGGAUGGGACUGGCCUCACUGACACGCUGGGCUCCUCUGUCCUCAGUGGGGCAGACAGACCUGAGCAGGGACAGAUGGACCUGACUGGGCAGGAAGGGUGAAGGGCCUGGACUGCUGUGCUCUGCUGAUCACAUGCUGGGUUUAUCCCUGUAAAUAUCAUCAUGUUUCCUUCCAAUAAACUCUUUUCCACACGUGG